rnacentral:rRNA from 1 species
UGGGGAAUCUUGCGCAAUGGGCGAAAGCCUGACGCAGCGACGCCGCGUGAGGGAAGAAGGCUUUCGGGUUGUAAACCUCUUUCAGGAGGGACGAAGCUACUCGGGUUAAUAGCCCAGAGGGUGACGGUACCUCCAGAAGAAGCCCCGGCUAACUACGUGCCAGCAGCCGCGGUAAUACGUAGGGGGCAAGCGUUGUCCGGAUUUAUUGGGCGUAAAGAGCGUGUAGGCGGCUAGAUAGGUCCGUUGUGAAAACUCGAGGCUCAACCUCGAGACGCCGAUGGAAACCAUCCAGCUAGAGUCCGGAAGAGGAGAGUGGAAUUCCCGGUGUAGCGGUGAAAUGCGCAGAUAUCGGGAAGAACACCCGUGGCUAAGGCGGCUCUCUAGUACGGUACUGACGCUGAGACGCGAAAGCGUGGGGAGCGAACAGGAUUAGAUACCCUGGUAGUCCACGCCGUAAACGAUGGGUGCUAGGGUGGGGGGGGUGUCGACUCCCUCC